UGGUACAAGAGUGUUGUUGUUAAGGAAAAACAACCAGACUCUUUUAAUAAUUGUAGUUUCUUCUGUUUUGGAUCCAUAUCCUUUUCCAAAUAAGUGCUGUCUGCUGAAAGCAACACUAAAAAAAAAUGACUAGUUGUUUGAAAAUUUAUGGUUUUUGAUCCAUGGCUUAAUUUUGUUAAUUGGGAAAAGAACCUGAAGAAUGCCAGUUUUUAGCAGCACAAUAUCCUCAAAUACAAGUAUAAAUGGCAGAAAGAAUGUAAUAUAGCAGCACGGGAUUUGUAAGGAAUUGUGGUGAUUUUGCAGCAAUGAUGACCCAAUAUUUGGCAAUGUAAAUCUUGGUAAUGCUGAUGAGCUAUGGUCUUCUUCAAAAUAUACAACUAACAGCCCGGUCAAGCCCUUUCCGAUAUCUGUGGCUUCAAGAGAAGAGGACCAGCUGUUUGCCCUUGGCUAUGGAAAAAUGAACGACCCUGCAUCUCAUGGUCUGCAGAAUACUCAGGCAGGCCUUGAUCAUGUAGAAUAUGAUGAAGGUAAAAACAAGCCUAUGCUGAAGGAGCAGACAGAUUUGGCUGUUUUGGGAAAGAACACGGCGGCUAACUCUCAACUGACAGAGGAAAAUGGUGCUUUUCCAAAUGAAUUAGCAAACAAGGUACCUUUUUUUUUCUUCCUUUUGAUAUUUUCAAAAUGUUGAUACUGAACCAGACAUGUUACUGAUUUUAACCCUUUUCAUCCAGGAUAACUUUUAGACUCAAUAAGCACCAAAUACAAUCUUUGUUUUUUAGAAUCCUGCUAUGAUCUUUUGAUGUUCUAAGUUCUUCUGUCCAGGAUUAAAGAAAAGUUAUAUCAGUGAAUUGAAUUUGGAAAAUCUUGAUAUUGUUAUCCUUUCACUAAUACAGUGUGGUUUCCUCAUAUU